CCUACGGGAGGCAGCAGUGAGGAAUAUUGGUCAAUGGACGAGAGUCUGAACCAGCCAAGUAGCGUGAAGGAUGACUGCCCUAUGGGUUGUAAACUUCUUUUAUAUGGGAAUAAACUGUUCCACGUGUGGGCUUUUGUAUGUACCAUAUGAAUAAGGAUCGGCUAACUCCGUGCCAGCAGCCGCGGUAAUACGGAGGAUCCGAGCGUUAUCCGGAUUUAUUGGGUUUAAAGGGAGCGUAGGUGGAUUGUUAAGUCAGUUGUGAAAGUUUGCGGCUCAACCGGAAAAUUGCAGUUGAAACUGGCAGUCUUGAGUACAGUAGAGGUGGGCGGAAUUCGUGGUGUAGCGGUGAAAUGCUUAGAUAUCACGAAGAACUCCGAUUGCGAAGGCAGCUCACUGGACUGCAACUGACACUGAGGCUCGAAAGUGUGGGUAUCAAACAGGAUUAGAUACCCCAGUAGUC
rnacentral:rRNA from 1 species